rnacentral:rRNA from 1 species
AGAUUGAACGCUGGCGGCAGGCCUAACACAUGCAAGUCGAGCGGCAGCACGGGUACUUGUACCUGGUGGCGAGCGGCGGACGGGUGAGUAAUGCCUAGGAAUCUGCCUGGUAGUGGGGGAUAACGCUCGGAAACGGACGCUAAUACCGCAUACGUCCUACGGGAGAAAGCAGGGGACCUUCGGGCCUUGCGCUAUCAGAUGAGCCUAGGUCGGAUUAGCUAGUUGGUGAGGUAAUGGCUCACCAAGGCGACGAUCCGUAACUGGUCUGAGAGGAUGAUCAGUCACACUGGAACUGAGACACGGUCCAGACUCCUACGGGAGGCAGCAGUGGGGAAUAUUGGACAAUGGGCGAAAGCCUGAUCCAGCCAUGCCGCGUGUGUGAAGAAGGUCUUCGGAUUGUAAAGCACUUUAAGUUGGGAAGGAAGGCAGUUACCUAAUACGUAUCUGUUUUGACGUUACGACAAGAAUAAGCACGCUAACUCUGU